rnacentral:rRNA from 1 species
UACGUAGGGGGCAAGCGUUGUCCGGAUUUAUUGGGCGUAAAGCGCGUGUAGGCGGCCACGCAGGUCCGCUGUGAAAACUCGAGGCUCAACCUCGAGAUGUCGGUGGAAACCGCGUGGCUAGAGUCCGGAAGAGGAGAGUGGAAUUCCCGGUGUAGCGGUGAAAUGCGUAGAUAUCGUAAGGAAGACCAGUGGCGAAGGCGGGUCUCUGGACAGUUCCUGACGCUGAGGCACGAAGGUCAGGGGAGCAAACGGG